AUUGAACGCUGGCGGCAGGCCUAACACAUGCAAGUCGAGCGGAGCGGCGGACGGGUGAGUAAUGCCUAGGAAUCUGCCUGGUAGUGGGGGAUAACGUCCGGAAACGGGCGCUAAUACCGCAUACUAUCAGAUGAGCCUAGGUCGGAUUAGCUAGUGGGUGGGGUAAUGGCCUACCUAGGCGACGAUCCCUAGCUGGUCUGAGAGGAUGAUCAGCCACUGGGAGACGGAGAAACGGCCCAGGGUCGUACGCGGGGGAGAAGUAGGGAAUCUUCGGCAAUGGACGAAAGUCUGACCGAGCAAGGCCGCGGGAGGGAAGAAGGUUUUCGUGUUGUAAACCCCUUUAGCUAUCGAAUGGGUAGGUGGAGAAGAAGCGCCGGCUAACUACGUGCCAGCAGCCGCGGUAAUUC
rnacentral:rRNA from 1 species